GAUCGGGGACGAGCAGAAGCCCAGUUACACCCAGCACAUCCCCGCUAAUACCAAAGUGAUGCUCAUCAGUGAUAUCGAUGGAGACGGGCGCUGUGAGCUUGUCGUUGGCUACACGGACCGGGUGGUGAGGGCGUUCAGGUGGGAGGAACCCUCUGAUGCUUCAGAUUUGAGCUCUGGUCAGCUGGUCUUACUGAAGAAAUGGCUUCUGGAGGGUCAGGUUGACAGUCUCUCGGUUAACCCAAGUCCAGAAGGUCUCC